AUGCGUCUUCUUGCUGCAGCAUUCAAGUUCCAUUUCAAGGGAGGACGACGUACCAUGAUACUUUCUGUUUUGUCGAGCCCUGCUUUGGUCUCUGGUUUGAUGGUUGUACGUGCUAAAAAUCCGGUACAUUCCGUUUUGUUUCCCAUCCUAGUCUUUUGCGACACUUCUGGUUUACUUAUUUUGUUAGGUCUCGACUUCUCCGCUAUGAUCUCCCCAGUAGUUCAUAUAGGAGCUAUUGCCGUUUCAUUCCUAUUCGUGGUUAUGAUGUUCAAUAUUCAAAUAGCGGAGAUUCACGAAGAAGUAUUGCGCUAUUUACCAGUGAGUGGUAUUAUUGGACUGAUCUUUUGGUGGGAAAUGUUCUUCAUUUUAGAUAAUGAAACCAUUCCAUUACUACCAACCCACAGAAAUACGACCUCUCUGAGAUAUACGGUUUAUGUCGGAAAGGUACGAAGUUGGACUAAUUUGGAAACAUGGGCAAUUUGCUUUAUACCUACUAUUCCGUCUGGUUUUUGGUUUCUAGUCUGA
rnacentral:rRNA from 1 species